rnacentral:rRNA from 1 species
UACGUAGGGGGCAAGCGUUGUCCGGAAUCAUUGGGCGUAAAGCGCGUGUAGGCGGUUCGGUAAGUCUGCUGUGAAAGUCCAGGGCUCAACCCUGGGAUGCCGGUGGAUACUGUCGGGCUCGAAUCCGGAAGAGGUGAGUGGAAUUCCUGGUGUAGCGGUGAAAUGCGCAGAUAUCAGGAAGAACACCCGUGGCGAAAGCGGCUCUCUGGAACGGUACUGACGCUGAGACGCGAAAGCGUGGGGAGCGAACAGG